UACGGGGGAGCAAGCGUUGUUCGGAUUUACUGGGCGUAAAGGGCGCGUAGGCGGUCAGUGCAAGUCAGUUGUGAAAUCUCCGGGCUUAACUCGGAACGGUCAACUGAUACUGCUCGACUAGAGUGCGGAAGGGGCAACUGGAAUUCUUGGUGUAGCGGUGAAAUGCGUAGAUAUCAAGAGGAACACCUGCGGCGAAGGCGGGUUGCUGGGCCGACACUGACGCUGAGGCGCGAAAGCUAGGGGAGCGAACGGG
rnacentral:rRNA from 1 species